GACGAACGCUGGCGGCGUGCCUAAUACAUGCAAGUAGAACGCACAGUUUAUACCGUAGCUUGCUACACCAUAGACUGUGAGUUGCGAACGGGUGAGUAACGCGUAGGUAACCUGCCUGGUAGCGGGGGAUAACUAUUGGAAACGAUAGCUAAUACCGCAUAAUAUUGAUUAUUGCAUGAUAAUUGAUUGAAAGAUUCUAUUUCAUCACUACCAGAUGGACCUGCGUUGUAUUAGCUAGUAGGUGAGGUAACGGCUCACCUAGGCGACGAUACAUAGCCGACCUGAGAGGGUGAUCGGCCACACUGGGACUGAGACACGGCCCAGACUCCUGCGGGAGGCAGCAGUAGGGAAUCUUCGGCAAUGGACGAAAGUCUGACCGAGCAACGCCGCGUGAGUGAAGGAGGUUUUCGGAUCGUAAAGCUCUGUUGUAAGAGAAGAACGGGUGUGAGAGUGGAAAGUUCACACUGUGACGGUAUCUUACCAGAAAGGGACGGCUAACUACGUG
rnacentral:rRNA from 1 species